rnacentral:lncRNA from 1 species
CAAGGUGUCAUACAAGGGAGCGCGUGGCAGAGAUGGGGCGCGUUCUCGAUGAGCUGUUUACGCUCCUCGAGCGCGUGGAAGACAAGCUUUAGCUGUCCGUAGUCGAGAUUGAACACAGCUUUCUCCAAGUAACGAACUCCUAAUCAAAUAAAUAUUUAGUUAUAAAAAAUAAGAACAAGAUUAAAUGAAAAUAAUAUUCCCUCUGUUCAUAAAAUAUCCAUAUUCUAGUUUUUUCACACAUUUUAAUAAAAUAUAUUAAAUUUGCAUAAUUUUUUGUGUCUAUCUUUUUUCCACAAUUUUAAGUCAAUAAAAAAAAUUAAUUAAUGCAAUUAAGAUUUUUGAAGUUUAUAAUUAGUUAAUAAAACAUGUAUUGAAAAUGUAAAAAAUGAAUUUUUUAGAAACAAAAUUUUUCUUUAUAAUAUAUAUCUUUAAGAAACCGAGGGAGUAUUUACUAAUCGAGUUUUUAGAAUUAUGUACACAAACUAAAUAUAAAAUCAUUUAAUUAAAAUGUAGAGUUACUUAUCUAACUAACCAUUAUCUAACUAACCACGAUCCAACCAAUAGAAAAACAAUCUAUAAAAUAUAAAAGAAAAGUAUAUAUAACAUAAAAUUAAUAGAUGAUCUUACUUACCUCCAUGGAUUAGCUUGGUUGAACGUGAAGACGUCCCUGAGGAGAAAUCCUCACGCUCCACGAGACCUACGCGGAGGCCACGUGUCGCAGCGUCGAGAGCCACUCCAGAGCCGGUGGCUCCACCGCCAAUCACGAGGACG